CCGUUUGAGGAGCAGUGUGCCUUUGCAAUUGGUGAGCGGUGGUGACGUGGCUCCGCUGUGAAAUGGAAACGGCCACAUAACAAAGUUGUCGGGCUGACAAGUUGCAAGCAAAAUCAAAAUCUCUCUCUCUCUCUCUCUCUCUCUCUCUCUCUCUCUCAGGUUAGGGUUUCUCUUUGGCUCUGAAAAACUCUACACAAUGCCGCUUCCUUCCAAAUCCCUCGAAAGCGAGGAGUGGGGAACACCCACCAACAACCUAUGGGUCGGCAAUUUGCCGCCGGAGGUCACCGACUCCGAUAUUAUGGAGCUCUUCGCUCCAUUCGGCGCUCUCGAUACUCUCAUCUCCUAUUCCUCUCGCACUUUUGCCUUCGUCUUCUUAAGGCGACUCGAAGAUGCCAAGGCCGCCAAAACCACUUUGCAGGGCGCUUUUCUGCGCGGAAUUCACAUCAGAAUCGAAUUCGCUAGACCGCCAAAGCCGUGUAAACAGCUAUGGGUGGGUGGUGUUAGCCCUUCUAUCACGAAGGAAGAAUUGGAAACUGAAUUUCGUAGAUUUGGUAAGAUUGAGGAUUUUAAGCUCUUCAGAGACCGCAACACUGCAUGCGUUGAGUUUCUCAACUUGGAUGAUGCUACUCGGGCCGUGAAAAUCAUGAACGGGAAGCGUUUGGGUGGAGACCAAAUUUGUGUAGACUUCCUUCGAUCACAAUCUACUAAAAGAGAUCUUUUGGUGGAUUAUGGGCAGUUUCAGGCUAGACCACAGCAUUCACAACCUCCAAUCGGGAGAAAUGGUCAACCCAGUAAUGUUUUGUGGAUAGGUUUUCCUCCUUCUUUUCAGAUUGAUGAACAAAUGCUUCACAAUGCUAUGAUUUUGUUUGGUGAAAUUGAGAGAAUCAAGAGUUUUCCUUCUAGACAUUAUUCAUUUGUUGAGUUCAGAAGCGUUGAUGAAGCUCGGCGUGCGAAAGAGGGUCUUCAAGGACGGCUUUUUAAUGAUCCUCGGAUAACGAUUAUGUAUUCAAGCAGUGAGAUGGCACCUGGCAAAGAUUAUCCUGGCAUUUAUCCUGGGAGUAAAGGGACUAUAUCUGAUGGAUUAGUUAACGAGCAUCCACUUCGACCACUACAAAUUGAUGCAUUUGGUCAUAAUCGUCCUAUUGUUCCAAAUAAUUUUCCUGGACAACUGCCACCAGGGGGUGUUGUUGGACCCAAUGCCCCAAUGCGAUCUUUUGGUUCUCAAGGUCUUGAACCUCUUAUCUCUGGUCCUGAGUUUAAUGAGAUGGGUACACACACCAAAUUUCAGGAUGGUAGCUCUAAAAGUCUUACGGGUCCAAACUGGAAAAGGCCAUCUCCACCUGCCUCAGGAAUGCUUCCAUCUCCUAUGCCUGGUAUUCAGCCGCCUUCAAGAUCCACCUCUGGUGCAUGGGAUGUACUUGACAUAAACCAAGUUCAGAGAGAUUCUAAACGCUCAAGGAUAGAUGGUGCUUUGCACAUUGGUGAUACUCCAUUUCCUUUAAGGAAUAUAGAUGACCGUGGAUUAGGGCUUGAACAAACUUUUGCAAUUGAUCCAGUUAUUGAUGGAGUUGGUUCUGGUCCUAAGAGUCACCUUGGUGCAGUGGGCAGUAGAAUCACCUCUGGAGUGCCUGGUUCUGUUCAGCCAGAUAUUGAUCAUAUAUGGCGUGGAAUUAUUGCAAAAGGGGGAACUCCUGUUUGUCGAGCUAGAUGCGUGCCUAUUGGAAAAGGGAUAGGGACUGAUCUUCCUGAUGUUGUUGAUUGCGCUGCUAGGACAGGAUUGGACAUGCUAACAAAACACUAUGCUGAUGCAAUCGGCUUUGAUGUUGUUUUCUUUCUCCCUGAUAGUGAAGAGGAUUUUGCUUCAUACACUGAAUUCCUUCGCUACCUCAAAGCAAAAAACCGUGCUGGUGUUGCCAAGUUUGUUGAUAACACCACUUUAUUUUUGGUACCACCUUCAGAUUUCUUGACCAAUGUUUUGAAAGUCACUGGACCUGAACGUUUAUAUGGCGUGGUUCUGAAAUUUCCUUCAGUUCCAAGUAGCACUCCAAUGCAACAAGCAAUGCAUUUGCCUUCACCCUCUACCCAGUAUAUGCAGCAGAUUCCCCCUUCACAAGCUGACUAUGGUUCAAUCUCUGUAAAGGAGGAACAGGUUUUACCAAUGGAUUAUAACAGAUUGAUACAUGAGGAUUCUAAGCUUCUUCCAAAACCACUUCAUCCAGCUACAAAUGGCCCCUCUUCAAUUCAUUCUGUUCCUCCUGAUUAUACUCCUACAAAAACUGUCUCUGCAUCCCAAACUGGAGUUACAUUAACACCUGAACUUAUUGCAACCUUAACUUCUUUACUCCCAGCAACCACGCAAUCAUCUGCCACUGACGGUGCAAAGACAGCAGUUGGUCCCUCUGCUGUGAAGCCACCAUUUCCUCCUGGUGCACCUAAUGAUGGAAAUCAAUCUCAUUUGUGGAAACAGGAUCAUCAUAUUGCAGAUCCACCUAAUCAUCCCCCUCAACAGUUUGGGAGUAUGUAUAACAUUCCCAAUGCUCAAUAUCAGCCCUAUCCACCUGCAUUUACUCCUGACCACUCUGCUCAAGUGGUUUAUGGCGGUUCUCAUUUCCAAGAUUCUGGUUCCAGUUUGCAACAACUAGGUACUGUUUCAUCUACGCCCAUGAACAAUUUCAUCAUACCUCCACAAAAUGGACAGGUAGCUGCAUCCCCUCAAGUCAGUCAGCCAUAUCAGGUUGAAGUCUCCCACAACACCCAGAAAGGCUUUGGAAUGGUUCAGGGAACAGAUGCCUCUGUUUUAUCUAGUUCUAAGGCAUUCCAACAACCUAAUUUUAUACCCUCAUCUAAUCAAAUUUCCAGUGCUGCUUCACAGCAACAAAAUUUGACACCCUAUCCAGUAGACAAUGUUAACACAGAGCCUCCAAAUCAGCAACUUCAACCUGCUUUAUUUGGGGUUGGCCAGGCCAUGUCAGAAUUGGAAGCUGAUAAGAACCAGAGAUACCAGUCAACACUACAGUUUGCUGCCAACCUUCUCUUUCAGAUACAACAACAACAAACACAAGGAGGGCAUGGGCCAGGAAAUCAUCAAUAAAAAUUGUUUUCCUGGUAUGGCAGGCGGAUUUUCAGCAAGACACCAUAUAUAUGAGCUAUGGCAUGGUGGGUUUCUUGUGGCGGGUUAUUGUGCUUGCCAUUCACAUGAUGGACUGGAACCCAGAAAGGGGGAAAGAGAGAGUGGUGAAUUGUGGGUUGUGGGAAAAUGCCAGGGUUGGACAGAAAUGACAAUGACAAGCAUUGGUUCAGUGGCUGGAAAUGAAAGAUAUCAGCUGCAACGGCUGUGGUCUAUUGGAUUGGGAAUUUGGGAUAGUGUUUUGAGCUGUAGAUUUUGCUGGUUACUGUUAUAACAAGUAGUCUGUUAAUGUUACCUGGAAUGCUGCUUGCUAAGCCUACUUGUUCCUCUCCCUCAUCAUCUUGGUUAUUAGCUUGGAUUGUGACACAGUCAUCUCACCAACAGUUGGAAAGCCUUGUCCAGGUAUGUUGAGGGAAUUGGCUGUGUUAUGUUUCUAAUGAAGUAAAUUUCUGUUCAUGGAAAUCGUUUAUGCUAUUUUGUAGCCUGUUAUAUAUGGUGUGUAGAUUUUAUUUAAUUCCUAGUAUAUAUGGGUAAUGGCUAUGUGCUUUAGCUUUCAUAUUUUGGAUAAAUAUUAAGUCUAGGACACAAUUUAUUAUAGUGGAAAUUUUAAGUGUUUAGGACUGGUAUUUUUCUCUCCAAGGAUCUAAGGAAAUCCAUCUGUUGAAAUUAUGGGGGUUUUUGGUGUUUGAGGGUGGAAGAGAGAUACAAGAGAAUGAAAUCCUAAAUUGAUGUUUAACUGUGAUGUAUUACAAUGCGUUAAUAUAUGUUUUCAUAAAAUUUCUAGUACUAACUACCCAUUAUACUAAUCAUAAUCCUAAAUAAUUAGGAAAUAAAUCAUGACAAGAUAAGGAAAUAUGGUAAACUAAUCCUUAGAGAUAAAAGUGAAACAGGGACGGAAAUUAAUCCUAGGGGAUGAUAAUAGGAUCUGAUAAAGAUUUUUCUUCUUUCAAUAUUCUUGCACUCCCCCUCAAGUUAAAGCUUAAUAAGUUUUUAGUUUGUUACUGAUAAACCCUUUAAAUAAAAGGAAUCUAACAAUAUAACUUAAGAUUGUGCAAUGAUGGAACAUGAUUAUUCUGAGACUAUUGUGGGGCAACUAAUUCUCUUAGUUAGUUAAUCUGCGGGGACAGACUCAUAUCUUUAAAGCUGGGAGGGCAAGCAGAUGUCUCUGGGAAAGCCCUGGAGUUGACAAUUUGACACUUGACACUCUUGGUAAAGCUGUAGGGCUAGAUCAACUGUGUUGCGAAAGCAGCAUGGCCUGGCUCAACUUUAGGAAAGCAGUGUGGCCAGAGCCAGACUAAUGUCUCUACUCACAUAAUGUACAAUUCAAACUAAGAAGAGGAGGUCAUGGGUCAAUGAGAAGAGAAAGAAAAAGAACCAAACAAUGAUGAAAAUGCUAGAAAAGGUCACAGAAGGCAAAAUGCAGGAAAUUAAAAUACAAAGGGAAACAUGAGAGGUUAAGGCACACUAGAGAUGUCACAUUGAUGGGAGAAACCAAAGAAGGAGAUGCCCAAAAUAAGUAAAAACGGUCAGAAGAGGAUAACUUGUUGGAAGGAAAAACACAAUGGAAGCAAAAAUGCCAGAGGAUAUUGUAAGGUUUGACACACAGAGAGACAAUUAAUUUGAAAAAAGAAUCAUGAAAAUAAAGUUGAACUCAUCAUUUUAUGAAACUUAACAAUGGAGUAAGAGGAUGGAAAAUGGGUUAUGUGGGGGAUGGUAGUGGUACUACUCUGAUAUCAUAUUGAAAUUAUGUGGGUUUAGGUAUUGAUGGAGGAAGAUAAAGUAGAAUGAAAUGGAACAGUAAAUUAAUAUUUUCUGGGAUCUAUUACUAUGAGUUGAUAUGUUCAUAAAGCCCAUUGUUCCACCCUUAUUUAUAUUACUAAUCAUAAUACUAACCGGAGGGGGCGGGGGGAAUCAUUAUAAGAUAGGAAAUAUGUAACUAAUCCUAAGAGAUAACAAGGGAAAUAGGAAAUAGUUUGCACUUGCUCUUCAAUCCCCUCUGACAUUAUGUUUUAGGUUAAAAGCAAUUACUGUUUUUGCAAUUUGCUGUCAAUUAAUCUGUUCAAUUUUAGUUAUUGUUGUGUGAUUGGUUAGGAAUCUUAUUGAUAUGGAGAAUUAACAGUAUUUGGUCCUUGGGAGAAUUAAUAGUUUAAGGGUGUUGCUAAGGCAUUGGUUAAGGAAUCUAUAAAUAGUAAGUUUUAUUAGAGAUUAUGCUGGAAUGCCUCAAAAUACAUGGCAGUUUUCAACAAAACGUUUCUAUUUUUUAUUUCUUAACCAGUACUCUUAGGACACUAGUUAGCAUUUUUCAUAGUUUUUUAGUAUUUAUAAUUCUCUCUUCAUAAUGUUUGUACGAUACCAUCCUCAGUAAAAAAAAACUAUUUCAUCAUGUGGCUGUUUCAAAUCUAGUUUCAGAUAUAUAGAUACAUCAACUAUGUAACAAUCCCCUUGGUACACAUGUAUUAGAGUGCUUGCAUAAUGGUUCUGAGUCCUGAGAACUCUAGUACCCCAAUUUGUAGUGAACCUACUUUUGCUUAUAUUGUGCAUUAAUUUUGUUAAUCAUUAUCUUAUUUCUGAUUGAUUAAAAUAAUUGUCAUGAUCUAUCUUUCUCUCUCUUGUUAUAGCUUACCUCUCAAUUGGUUGUAUGUAUACUUAGAUAGCAAUAUUGUGUCUUAAAUAUGACAUAUUAAUUAAGUCUUGAUCUUUUCUAUUCUGUGAUUGCAUCUAAUAAUAACUUGAAGUGUUGUAUCCCCAUUAUAUUUUAGCGGUAGGCUUGGAGCCCUUUUUCCCCCUAGAAGGUAAAUAUUAGGGUUGGGGACUCAUUCACUUUAACUUAUUUCACUGUGAGCUGUAAUUUUCCCAAUGUAAAGAUCUUGAAUUUGAUUCCAAAGAUUAUGUGAAGACACUUACUGAUUAAAUUUGUAAAUAUAGAGUUACCACUAUUUACUGCUUUCCCCGCCAGCCAUACUCAGGGAUCAGUUAACAGAAUUUAAAAUUUCGAUACCGGAUUCCAAAUCUGAUUUUCCCCUUGUUUCUCCUAUGUUUCCUUGUUAUUUCUCCUCCAAAUCCAGUAGGGAGAAUAUGCAAAUUACAAUUCAGGUUUGGGCUAUCAAAGGGAUUAUGAUUUGAAGAUUCUUUAUAUUACUUCAUAUUGAUUCCCACUGAAUCUAUAGCGACUGUGAAUCUAUCCUAAUUACUCCACCAAUUGGCUUUUAGGGAGUAGGUUUUUAACUGGCUAGUAGCUAACAAAAAUUAGCUUCCUCAA